AUGAACGCUAGCUACAGGCUUAACACAUGCAAGUCGAGGGGCAUCAGGAAGAAAGCUUGCUUUCUUUGCUGGCGACCGGCGCACGGGUGAGUAACACGUAUCCAACCUGCCCUUUACUCGGGGAUAGCCUUUCGAAAGAAAGAUUAAUACCCGAUAGCAUAAUGAUUCCGCAUGGUUUCAUUAUUAAAGGAUUCCGGUAAAGGAUGGGGAUGCGUUCCAUUAGGUUGUUGGUGGGGUAACGGCCCACCAAGCCUUCGAUGGAUAGGGGUUCUGAGAGGAAGGUCCCCCACAUUGGAACUGAGACACGGUCCAAACUCCUACGGGAGGCAGCAGUGAGGAAUAUUGGUCAAUGGGCGCUAGCCUGAACCAGCCAAGUAGCGUGAAGGAUGAAGGCUCUAUGGGUCGUAAACUUCUUUUAUAUAAGAAUAAAGUGCAGUAUGUAUACUGUUUUGUAUGUAUUAUAUGAAUAAGGAUCGGCUAACUCCGUGCCAGCAGCCGCGGUAAUACGGAGGAUCCGAGCGUUAUCCGGAUUUAUUGGGUUUAAAGGGAGCGUAGGUGGACUGGUAAGUCAGUUGUGAAAGUUUGCGGCUCAACCGUAAAAUUGCAGUUGAUACUGUCAGUCUUGAGUACAGUAGAGGUGGGCGGAAUUCGUGGUGUAGCGGUGAAAUGCUUAGAUAUCACGAAGAACUCCGAUUGCGAAGGCAGCUCACUGGACUGCAACUGACACUGAUGCUCGAAAGUGUGGGUAUCAAACAGGAUUAGAUACCCUGGUAGUCCACACAGUAAACGAUGAAUACUCGCUGUUUGCGAUAUACAGUAAGCGGCCAAGCGAAAGCAUUAAGUAUUCCACCUGGGGAGUACGCCGGCAACGGUGAAACUCAAAGGAAUUGACGGGGGCCUGCACAAGCGGAGGAACAUGUGGUUUAAUUCGAUGAUACGCGAGGAACCUUACCCGGGCUUAAAUUGCAGUGGAAUGAUGUGGAAACAUGUCAGUGAGCAAUCACCGCUGUGAAGGUGCUGCAUGGUUGUCGUCAGCUCGUGCCGUGAGGUGUCGGCUUAAGUGCCAUAACGAGCGCAACCCUUAUCUUUAGUUACUAACAGGUCAUGCUGAGGACUCUAGAGAGACUGCCGUCGUAAGAUGUGAGGAAGGUGGGGAUGACGUCAAAUCAGCACGGCCCUUACGUCCGGGGCUACACACGUGUUACAAUGGGGGGUACAGAAGGCAGCUAGCGGGUGACCGUAUGCUAAUCCCAAAAGCCUCUCUCAGUUCGGAUCGAAGUCUGCAACCCGACUUCGUGAAGCUGGAUUCGCUAGUAAUCGCGCAUCAGCCACGGCGCGGUGAAUACGUUCCCGGGCCUUGUACACACCGCCCGUCAAGCCAUGGGAGCCGGGGGUACCUGAAGUACGUAACCGCAAGGAUCGUCCUAGGGUAAAACUGGUGACUGGGGCU
rnacentral:rRNA from 1 species